GUUAAUAUCCAGUCUGAUGUUUUAUGAACAUUUGAUAAUAAAUGAUUGACAAGAUAAAAUUAUAAUCUGCAAAAUGGUACUCCAUACAAACAAAAUUGAUUAUAAUUUGUAUUGGUAAUACAAUUAAAGUGUUAUAAUAACCCUGCUCCAAAUGAGUGGGGGUAUUAUGUCAGUCCUACCUUAGAUCUGACAGUCUAAUCAACUGCAAAUAAGAUCUUCUUGAUAUUUCUAAGAC
rnacentral:lncRNA from 1 species